rnacentral:rRNA from 1 species
GACAGAGGUCCCGAGCGUUGUUCGGAUUCAUUGGGCGUAAAGGGUGUGUAGGAGGUUGGGUAAGUCAGGUGUGAAAUCUCAGAGCUUAACUCUGAAACUGCGCUUGAUACUGCUCAGCUAGAGGAUCGGAGGGGGUAACGGAAUUUAUGGUGUAGCAGUGAAAUGCGUAGAUAUCAUAAGGAACACCGGUGGCGAAGGCGGUUACCUGGAAGAUUCCUGACUCUGAAACACGAAAGCCAGGGGAGCAAACGGG